rnacentral:tRNA from 1 species
GCGGUCGUCGUCUAGUUUGGUCUAGGACAUCAGCCUGCCACGCUGGUAACCCGGGUUCAAAUCCCGGCGACCGCA